ACCACAGACUCCCAUCCCAGGAGCUGGUGACCUUCAAGGAUGUGGCUGUGGACUUCAGCCCAGAGGAGUGGGGUCUGUUGGACCCAGAUGAAAAAGAGCUGUACAAAGAGGUCAUGCUGGAAAAUGCUGAGAACUUGCUCUCCCUGGGACUUCCAGUUCCCAGAGAUUUCAUCUCCCAUGUGGAGAGAGGAGGCCUGAGGAACUCCUGUCCUGAUGCAGAGACACAAUUUGACAUGAAGGAGAUGAGUGCAAAUUUGAAAAUUAUCUCAUGGAAAGACCCUUUUCAGUAUAGUGAAUACAUGGCU